UACGUAGGGGGCGAGCGUUGUCCGGAGUUACUGGGCGUAAAGGGCGCGUAGGCGGAUGCUUAAGUUGUCAGUGAAAGCCCCCGGCUCAACCGGGGAGAGUCUGGCAAGACUGGGCGUCUGGAGGACAGUAGAGGAGAGUGGAAUUGCUGGUGGAGCGGUGGAAUGCGUAGAGAUCAGCAGGAACACCCGUGGCGAAGGCGGCUCUCUGGACUUGUCCUGACGCUGAGGCGCGAAAGCUGGGGGAGCGAAC
rnacentral:rRNA from 1 species